CUCGGGCCAAAGGGCAUGGGUGAAGACCAGGAGGCUGGAGCCCAGGAAGGAGAGGACACAGGAGACCAGCACGAUGACCCGCUCAGAGAAAGCUUACCAUCUAACACAGACAAGACAGCAGCGUAGAGAAGGGGAAAGAAUGAAAAGUACAAUGGUGAGACCAGGAAGAAGUGCUGUGAAGAGAUGUCAACUUUACUAGUGAGCAGAAACACCCUAACCAAGAGUUAUUUCACCUGGAUGACGACGUGCUCAGCGGCAGAGAUCCAGUUGCUUUCGACCUGAACAGGGUGCAGCAGAACUAUAUGUAAGGACUGUCGCUCAGAUCAACAUCCAGCGGCUUCUAGUGCCGGGCCACGGUCCAGAAUUCUGUGUCCGAGAGGACUCUGUGGGCGUUAACCAGCAACAAAGGGCCUGUUGUUCCCUUCAUUUACCUCUUAAUGAAAAGCUACAGAUCCUUCAGCAUCUCUCUCGUCAGUCUUCUGCUCCACCGACAGCACCCGCCGUGCCAUUCUCCAACCCAGCAUGAAGCACAGGGGACCAGCUGGGCAGCAUUCCACUCGACGGCAGUCUCCUCUUGUGUCAGCGAGACGUGCUGCGGGCCCAACAAUGUGCAGCACUUCUAGGGCAGUAUACUUGCUGAUUGCUUCCUUGAUUAUUGCUCACAACAACCAGCUAAGACACUGCCAAAGAAACACUCACAGCUGGCAUCAACUGACGGGAUGUGAGCUGCGGCAGGUGGUUCUGUCUCCCUCUUUCUUUCUCUGACCUAAAAAUGGCAGGAGAGUCUGGGGGACAAAGAAACAGUCAAUAAACAGCCAUAACAGCGAGGGGAAAAAAAAAAGUGGCUCUCCGGACGGAGAUUCCAAAUAUACUUUGAUAGACACACACACGAUCUCAGAUACAGCCUCUAAA